rnacentral:rRNA from 1 species
CCUACGGGAGGCAGCAGUGAGGAAUAUUGGUCAAUGGUCGGGAGACUGAACCAGCCAAGCCGCGUGAGGGAUGAAGGUACAGAGUAUCGUAAACCUCUUUUGUCAGGGAACAAAGGCGGGGACGUGUCCCCGGAUGAGUGUACCUGAAGAGAAAGCAUCGCCUAACUCAGGGCCAGCAGACGCGGUAUUACGGGGGAGGCGAGCUUUAUCCGGAUUUAUUGGGUUUAACGGGUGCCCGGGCGGACGGUUAAGUCAGCGGUCAAACCCCGGGGCUCAACCCCGCCCCGCCGUUGAAACUGGCAGUCUCGAGUGGGAGAGAAGUAUGCGGAAUGCGCGGUGUAGCGGUGAAAUGCAUAGAUAUCGCGCAGAACUCCGAUUGCGAAGGCAGCAUGCCGGCUCCACACUGACGCUGAGGCACGAAAGCGUGGGUAUCGAACAGGAUUAGAUACCCUAGUAGUC